rnacentral:rRNA from 1 species
UUGAUCCCUGGCUCAGGAUGAACGCUAGCGGCAGGCUUAACACAUGCAAGUCGAGGGGUAUAGUUCUUCGGAAUUAGAGACCGGCGCACGGGUGCGUAACGCGUAUGCAAUCUACCUUUUGCAGAGGGAUAGCCCAGAGAAAUUUGGAUUAAUACCUCAUAGUAUAGCAGUUUCGCAUGAAACCACUAUUAAAGUCACAACGGCAAAAGAUGAGCAUGCGUCCCAUUAGCUAGUUGGUAAGGUAACGGCUUACCAAGGCUACGAUGGGUAGGGGUCCUGAGAGGGAGAUCCCCCACACUGGUACUGAGACACGGACCAGACUCCUACGGGAGGCAGCAGUGAGGAAUAUUGGACAAUGGGCGCAAGCCUGAUCCAGCCAUGCCGCGUGCAGGAUGACGGUCCUAUGGAUUGUAAACUGCUUUUGUACAGGAAGAAACACUCCCUCGUGAGGGAGCUUGACGGUACUGUAAGAAUAAGGAUUCGGCUAA